rnacentral:rRNA from 1 species
AGUGAACGCUGGCGGUGGGCCUAACACAUGCAAGUCGAACGGCAGCACAGUAAGAGCUUGCUCUUACGGGUGGCGAGUGGCGGACGGGUGAGGAAUACAUCGGAAUCUACUUUUUCGUGGGGGAUAACGUAGGGAAACUUACGCUAAUACCGCAUACGACCUACGGGUGAAAGCAUGGGAUCUUCGGACCUUGCGCGAUUGAAUGAGCCGAUGUCGGAUUAGCUAGUUGGCGGGGUAAAGGCCCACCAAGGCGACGAUCCGUAGCUGGUCUGAGAGGAUGAUCAGCCACACUGGAACUGAGACACGGUCCAGACCCCUACGGUAGGCAGCAGUGAGGAAUAUUGGACAAUGGUCGCAAGCCUGAUCCAGCCAUACCGCGUGGGUGAAGAAGGCCUUCGGGUUGUAAAGCCCUUUUGUUGGGAAAGAAAAGCAGCAGGUUAAUACCCCGCUGUUCUGACGGUACCCAAAGAAUAAGCACCGGCUAACUUCGUG